UCUGUUGUACACAGCACACCCAGUAAAGACUGGACUUUUAAUGUUUCUGAGUCCAGCAGUGGAAAAUACACAUGUCAGUGUAGAAGCAGAGAUGACUGGUAUUCUUCAACAGAGUGGAGUGAAUCAAUUAUCCUGUCAGUAUCUGCUGUGUCCGGUCCAGUCAGCUCUACUAUCUUGUGGAUCAUUGUACCAGUUUCUGGUAUCGUUCUUGUUGUUCUGCUCCUCCUGUUGUGGCGCUGCAGUCAGUCCAGAGGUUUAUUCUGCUUCAGG